GACGAACGCUGGUGGCGUGCUUAACACAUGCAAGUCGAACGAUGAAGCCUUCGGGUGGAUUAGUGGCGAACGGGUGAGUAACGCGUGGGCAAUCUGCCCUGUACUUUGGGAUAAGCCUUGGAAACGGGGUCGUAAUACCGGAUAUCACUUCUGACCGCAUGGUUGGUUGUUGAAAGUUCUGGCGGUACAGGAUGAGCCCGCGGCCUAUCAGCUUGUUGGUGGGGUAAUGGCCUACCAAGGCGACGACGGGUAGCCGGCCUGAGAGGGUGACCGGCCACACUGGGACUGAGACACGGCCCAGACUCCUACGGGAGGCAGCAGUGGGGAAUAUUGCACAAUGGGCGAAAGCCUGAUGCAGCGACGCCGCGUGAGGGAUGACGGCCU
rnacentral:rRNA from 1 species